UUUUCAAAAUAACCGAUGUAGUGCCUCAAAGCCAAAUGCCAAAGCCAGGUCUCCUUCUUCCCAAUCGUCUAGGUCAAGACUCGCCUCCGCGUCACCAGUCUCCUCCUCCACCAUUCUCACAACGUCAACAACCCUAACCCUAGUUUAUUGUGUCACAGCCCGCAUCACUCUUGUGGGCCUUUGGGCCUAUGGAUGAAAUCUUAGAUUGGGCGUUUCCUGCGGAGCAUUGCGGCGACUGAGUCGCAGCUGUGGGCGGCGUCGGAGUGCGGCGUGCGGUUCUGGAACUUCAAGGAUCUUUACUCGUCGUGGUGCGGCGUUGGAGAAGGAGGCAUUGUGCGGAGCGGCGACGAGGAGAGCGCGCCGUUUUGGGAGUGGGUGUGGAGUUCGCCGACGCUGUGCUUGGUUGCGGGCGAGGGGAACAGGUUGGGUUGCAGUGGACACAGGGAUGGGAAGAUUAGGUGCUAGAAGAUGGAUGAUGAGGGUUUGGAUGAUGGUAACAACUACGAUUGGAGCAAUCGGUUUAAGGAAAGCUUGUCUUGGCAGGCUCACUGUGGCCCUGUUCUUUCCCUAACGUUCACCUCUUAUGUUUUAAAGUCGAGUGGGACAAGAAAGGAACAGCUCACUCUUCCCAUCAGAAGAUGGCUCGUGCCUUGGCCGGGUCGCCUCAGUCUAUACUGAGUGGAAUCAGAAGCUGGUCGGGUCGGAGCGGUUGGAUGGAUGAAGGCUCGUUAUCAGGUGAGACCGGAGCAGGUGCAGUGAGUUUGCUGGUGAAGAUGGUCUUGCUGUUCUUCUUGUGCAUGGUUUUGGUGCCUUCUGGGAGCAUUACCGUGACAACAUACGUGGUUUAGCUGAAUCUGGAAAUAGUACUCUUGUGGGCUGAACUAUUGAGAGAUUUUAUUGUUAAAUGUUGUGGAUGAACCAGUCCACCUUGUUGGCAACUCAAUUGGCGGUUAUCUUGUUGCUAUUGUUGCUAGUAUUUGGAGUGUUUUGACCAAAUCCAUUGUUGCUAUUGUUGCUAUGAGAUUGAUUAUAUUGCUAGGUAUUGUUUCUAUUUAGCAAGAGUUGCUAUUUUUUUAUGUUGUUGUGGUUAUUUUUGUUAACUUGUUAUUAUUAUUUUGAUCUAACUUAAUUAUUUUAUUUAUGUUUGCAUAUAUAAUUAUUAUAUAGUCUCAGCUAGGGAACUGAAACCUGAAUUGAGAUUAUUAUAAAAUUUGACAUGUUUUUUUUUCUUUGUUUCUUUUAUUUCAAUUAGUUGUUUCAUCUAGAUUAUUUUUAUGUUGUCAAAGAGCAGUGUGCACACUAAAUGCACGUUAAAUUACCUCUUGAUCCGUAAAUUGUUUUUCUAUGGUUUUUGUGUUUGUGUGCAGCUUAGUUUGCCUACCAGGGGUAACUUUAAUAUUCUGAAAAUACCAGUAGUAGCCUAUAUUGGAAAAAUAGGGGAAAUCAAAAUAAGUAGCAGUCCUAAGAAUAUGCUGUAAAUAUAUUAGAACAUGAUGUUUUUUCCUUAACAAUCAGCUACAGCAGCUUGUUAUUUGCAAAGUUGAUUCCCAACUAAUUUCUUCAUGAAGAAAGCAGUUGAAACCCUGGGAUAAAAUCUUGCCCUGUUAGAAACCAGAAAAGGAUAAUGUGAAUUAGAGUUUAAUAAACAUGUUUACGAGUUAUCAGCAUAAAGAGAAAUUACAGUGUAAAACUAAAAGGUUCUUCAUUCAAAAUACCACAAAAAU